UACGGAGGGUGCAAGCGUUAUCCGGAAUCAUUGGGUUUAAAGGGUCGCAGGCGGAAAAAUAAGUCAGUGGUGAAAUCUCACAGCUCAACUGUGAAACUGCCAUUGAUACUGUUUUUCUUGAAUUCGAUCGAAGUGGGCGGAAUGUGACAUGUAGCGGUGAAAUGCUUAGAUAUGUCACAGAACACCGAUAGCGAAGGCAGCUCACUAGGUCUGGAUUGACGCUCAGGGACGAAAGCGUGGGGAGCAAACAGG
rnacentral:rRNA from 1 species